GGCAGCGGUCCGUGGAGGAGCCCGGAAGCGGCGCGGGGUUCGCGCUCUUCCCUGGAGGCGCACCAUUCUCCGGGCGGCUUCUCUAUUGUAUCGUCGCAAGGGGCAGCAUCAGGCCGGCCUGGCCAAGGCCGACAUCCUCGCUCGCGGGACUCCUGGGCGGAGCCAGGCGGGCAGGGCGGGCUUUCAGCUUUGCUGGGGUCGCGGCGGAAACCUACAGGUCACAGAGACCAAAAAUAACCGAGGAGAGGAAGGGCGAACCUGCCAGCAUCAACUACCCUUUCUCCAGCGGGGCUAGAACACUUGCCUCUGCCCUUCUAGUAAAACCACUUCCUAACCACGGUUUUGCAUCUCACGAUCAUCUACUAAACAGACAAGCCAGGACCACCGGAGCAAUCUGCCCCUCCACCUCCUAGAGCACGAAUGGCCCGGCUUCCCAUUUCUUCACUGUAAUUCAAGCCCCCAAGGACCCUCACCUUGAAACUUGGACUCAAGGAUUUAUACCGGACAAGUGGGGGAUGGGAAAGGAGGGAGAGAGGCUGUGUAAUUUAAAAAAGCAUAUUGAGCCUUAUAGUUUUAUAUGUGGAAAAUAAAAACAGUCCUACCCCCCAAAA